rnacentral:lncRNA from 1 species
UUAGGUACUUAACUUUGAUUGUCAACUUAGCAUCCAAAGAUAAACCUGAAUCAACGUUGGUGAUGUACUCUUUUUGUGUCUUGGUAUGUACUUAAGAUGUUAAUAGUUUUAGAAAUGGUCAUUUUGUGUAUUAGUUAGUUUUGUGAAUGUUAUGUUUAUAUGAUGUUUGUUAUGUGAAUUUGGGCUAUGUUUUGUAUUAGUUGCAAAUACUUCUGUAUAUGGUUGAUGAUAUAUGUUAAAUGAAAUUGGUUCUUUUGGAAGUGUAUGCUAUGAAUUAUCUUGAUUUGAGUUAAUUUAUGGAAUGUUGUGGUAGAUAGGUUAGUGGUUCUUGAUGAUGAAUAAAUGGGAUAUAUGGAUGAUUAAGGUUAAUGCUAGUUAAAUGAUUAUUGAAUUAUGGUGUAAAUGAGGGGACAUUGGUUAGGCACAUAAAUUGUAGGAAAUUGACAUGUUUUGACUUAUUUGAAAGUGUUUUUGGUAGUGUUUAUAGGGUGGUUUUAUGCUUGGCUUGUUACCUAAGAUAGGUGUGAAUCAUGCUUUGUUUUAUAAGCAAGAUUUAGUGCACACGGCCUAGGGCACGGGAUGUCACGCGGCCGUGUGACACACACGGUUAUGUGUCUUAAUGUUUCUAAGUGCAGGUUCCACACGGUCUGGCACACGGCCUGCAACACAGUCGUGUGUCCUAAAAUAGUUUGUCACACAGUUUGGGACAUGAACAGCCACACAGUCGUGUGACCCAACAUCGAAUGCACACACAGUUAGGCACACGACCUACGACACGGUCGUGUGGCCUUAAUUCAAAUAUACACACGGGCUGGGACACAACCGUAUGUCCAGACUUCGAAUGUCCACACGGUCUGGGCUACGUCACACGGCCGUGUGACCCUUGCUUCCAAAAUUUUCAACUUUUUCCUAGUUUUUCUGUUUUGUUUCGAAGUAAUAUGUUCUAUAAAGGUAGUUGGAUUUGAUUAUGGUCUUUAUUUUUUUUCAUUAUUUCUAUACGAGUAGGAAAACAACCUAUCCUAAGACCAAGAAACCCAUUUUCAAUAUAAUUGACUAAUAUUUCACUCCAUUACAAGUUUUUUUUUCCUUAUGAACUAAAACAACUCAAAAUUCAAUUAUGAAUUUUGAAAUUUAAGGUUUCAAAACCUCGAAUAAUUCAAUAGAUAUUGCUAUCAAAAUAAAGCUAAACACCAAAUUCCAUAAGCCUAAACCCAAAAUAUUAGAAUAUUCAGUCGAUUAGUAACGGAACACUAACCUUUGCUUCACCUUUUCAAAGCUCAGCAAUAGAGAAAUGUUUUUUUGGGUUUCUCUUUCCUCUUGAUUGAAAGUUUAGUAUUUCCGGUUUGAUUUCAAUACUCGAUAGGAUUUCUAGAGAUCCAAGGUUUUAAAAUGAGUCAAGGUUUCAAUCUUUCUCUUGUUUUCAAAAGGUUUCAAUCUUUGGUACGUUUGUUUACUAUGAGAGAUUUUUCUACUUGAGUUAAGUUUCUUUUAGAUAAUUACAUUUAUUUUCUUUAAAGGGUUAAAUAUAAAAUUGGUACCCGAGGUUGUCCAUUUCUCCUAAAUUGAUACUUAUGGUUUCUUUUGUCCCAGAUUGGUACUCGAACUUUUUUUUCGUCAACUAAAUAAGUAUCUGAGCCUAACACCGUUAAGUUCAGGACAAAUAGCGGAAUAAGAUUGUGACAUGUAACAUAAAUGACGUCAUGAUGUUGUUAUAAUCUAAAAAAAUUUUAAAACUUAUCUAUUUUAUUUUUGCUCCCCUAAUUUUUUUUGUUUGCGUAAUUAAUUUUCUUUCUUUUUUUUGUUUCUUCUAUCAUUUCUUCUUCUUCUUUCUCCCUCAGCCCAUGUUUCUCUUCUUUUUCUUUUCUUUUUUGUAAAAUUUUCGUUAAAAAGUUCUUGAGCCGCUCCACCCAGUUCAGUUCACUCAUCUUUUCCUCCUUAAGGUCUUUAGAAGUGACGGACAUCGUCAUCGAAAUAGCAGCCGCAACAUCGCUACGCCACGGCAAUACCAAUCUGCUGAUAUUCUCUUUGGAUUUGCUAUAAGGUAAGAGGAGGCAUGAUUAAUUGAUUCUAAGUAUUAGAUUGAUAGGUGAAAGUUCCAUCUUUGGGUUUCAUUUUCUUUUCGAGGUUUAAUAAUAUGAUGAGAUGAUUAAUAUUAUAACAAUUAAU